ACGGAGGGUGCGAGCGUUAAUCGGAAUUACUGGGCGUAAAGCGCACGCAGGCGGUUUGUUAAGUCAGGUGUGAAAUCCCCGGGCUCAACCUGGGAACUGCACUUGAUACUGGCAAGCUUGAGUCUCGUAGAGGGGGGUGGAAUUCCAGGUGUAGCGGUGAAAUGCGUAGGGAUCUGGAGGAAUACCGGUGGCGAAGGCGGCUCCCUGGACGAGGACUGACGCUCAGGUGCGAAAGCGUGGGGAGCAAACAG
rnacentral:rRNA from 1 species